rnacentral:rRNA from 1 species
UACGUAGGGUGCGAGCGUUGUCCGGAAUUAUUGGGCGUAAAGAGCUUGUAGGCGGUCUGUCGCGUCUGCUGUGAAAAUCCGGGGCUCAACCCCGGACUUGCAGUGGGUACGGGCAGACUAGAGUGUGGUAGGGGAGACUGGAAUUCCUGGUGUAGCGGUGAAAUGCGCAGAUAUCAGGAGGAACACCCGGUGGCGAAGGCGGGUCUCUGGGCCGUUACUGACGCUGAGGAGCGAAAGCGUGGGGAGCGAACAGG